rnacentral:rRNA from 1 species
UCUACGGAGAGUUUGAUCCUGGCUCAGGAUGAACGCUAGCGGUAGGCUUAAUACAUGCAAGUCGAGGGAUAGUAUCACUUCGG